CAGUCGAACGGCAGCACGGGAGCAAUCCUGGUGGCGAGUGGCGAACGGGUGAGUAAUACAUCGGAACGUGCCCAAUCGUGGGGGAUAACGCAGCGAAAGCUGUGCUAAUACCGCAUGAGAUCUACGGAUGAAAGCAGGGGACCGCAAGGCCUUGCGCGAAUGGAGCGGCCGAUGGCAGAUUAGGUAGUUGGUGAGGUAAAGGCUCACCAAGCCUGCGAUCUGUAGCUGGUCUGAGAGGACGACCAGCCACACUGGGACUGAGACACGGCCCAGACUCCUACGGGAGGCAGCAGUGGGGAAUUUUGGACAAUGGGCGCAAGCCUGAUCCAGCCAUGCCGCGUGCAGGAUGAAGGCCUUCGGGUUGUAAACUGCUUUUGUACGGAACGAAAAGGCUUUCUCUAAUAAAGGGAGCUCAUGACGGUACCGUAAGAAUAAGCACCGGCUAACUACGUGCCAGCAGCCGCGGUAAUACGUAGGGUGCAAGCGUUAAUCGGAAUUACUGGGCGUAAAGCGUGCGCAGGCGGUGAUGUAAGACAGUUGUGAAAUCCCCGGGCUCAACCUGGGAACUGCAUCUGUGACUGCAUCGCUGGAGUGCGGCAGAGGGGGAUGGAAUUCCGCGUGUAGCAGUGAAAUGCGUAGAUAUGCGGAGGAACACCGAUGGCGAAGGCAAUCCCCUGGGCCUGCACUGACGCUCAUGCACGAAAGCGUGG
rnacentral:rRNA from 1 species